UUCUACACUGUGCGAAUCAGUGUCAACUUUGUGGGGCUUAUAUUCAUAAAUAUCUCAAUAGAAAGCUAAGUGAGUUGCAAUAACUUAGCUGGAAAUUCUUUUAUAUUAUGAUAUUAGUGCAGGCGAAUCAAAG
ncrna:unclassified sequences Hatchet ribozyme sequence